CCUACGGGUGGCUGCAGUGGGGAAUAUUGCACAAUGGGCGCAAGCCUGAUGCAGCGACGCCGCGUGGGGGAUGACGGCCUUCGGGUUGUAAACUCCUUUCAGCCAUGACGAAGCCUCUUUUGGGGUGACGGUAGUGGUAGAAGAAGCACCGGCUAACUACGUGCCAGCAGCCGCGGUAAUACGUAGGGUGCGAGCGUUGUCCGGAAUUACUGGGCGUAAAGAGCUCGUAGGGGGUCUGUCGCGUCAUUUGUGAAAGCCCGGGGCUUAACUCCGGGUUGGCAGGUGAUACGGGCAUGACUGGAGUACUGUAGGGGAGACUGGAAUUCCUGGUGUAGCGGUGAAAUGCGCAGAUAUCAGGAGGAACACCGGUGGCGAAGGCGGGUCUCUGGGCAGUAACUGACGCUGAGGAGCGAAAGCAUGGGUAGCGAACAGGAUUAGAUACCCCUGUAGUC
rnacentral:rRNA from 1 species